GGGGAUGACGGGUAUCGACAGGGCAGGGAAGCUCGCGGUGGCAAGCCGAGCUGCCGGUAUGCUGGCUCGCUAAACCACCGGCAACAAAAUCAACUGCCAACAAACAGCAGUUCGCACUCGCUGCCUAAUUAGCAGGUAGCGCGUCCGCCCGUGGUCCACCCUCGAUGGACCCGGCACGGGCGUCAUCAUAAUCGAGGUGCAGCCGUCCCGAGGCUCAUAGGGACGGCCCAAGCUACAUGAGCUGGCGUUGAAGGGUGUUCGUCCUCUGUUCCCCCCAACGUGAAAGCAAAAGAGGUCUACGCUUGUAGAAGCCGCCGGUUGCCCUGUGUUGGACGGGGCGUUCGACUCGCCCCCAUCUCCACCA
rnacentral:tmRNA from 1 species